CAUAAGCAUUUCCACCUAAAUAGGGGAUAAGCAUUAUCAGUUCCAACAAUAGGAACACCAUUCAUAGAAACUGAUGAGUUUUCCCUAGCAAAUAAAGACUACCACUCGUAGCGUUUCUUUCCAGUGCUUUUUCUAACUUGGCAGUAACUGAAUGAAGAACCAGAGUAUUGAGUAGAAUAAGCAUUACCAUUUCCAACAAUCAGAACACCGUUAGCAGCGGAUGGUUUGAGGUCUUGUAUUUUUUCACCAGCAAAGAUAACUUGAAUAACUAGUAAAAAAAUAGGAAACGAAAUAUCAUGGAUAACUUAACUGACACGAAAGAAUCAAGAACUAGGGUAAAAGUGAUCAAUUGUGCAAAAAGAGUAUAGAUAUGAUGAGUAGAAGAGAAAAGCAUAAAUGACCAAAACUGUAGGUUAUGGACAACGAGGGUUAUCCUAUAAAACAUAAAAUUCAGAAAAGUAAUAAGACCAGGAGCACAAGCUUUGUUCACAUGACAAUGGAAAGAAUUUAAAUCGGACAACUAGUAGUUCAUAAGACUCUGCAAACCUGAGAAAUGUAUGGACUUUUCUGGAUUACCGUCUUCAUCAACUUUAUCAACAGCAUCAUCUAUGUCAGAUACAGUCAUCACGUGUACAGAGUACAAUCCAUCAGAAACCCA
rnacentral:lncRNA from 1 species